rnacentral:rRNA from 1 species
CGGGACGGGUGAGUAACGCGUGGGUAACCUGCCUCAUACAGGGGGAUAACAGUUAGAAAUGACUGCUAAUACCGCAUAAGACCACAGGAUCGCAUGAUCCGGUGGUAAAAACUCCGGUGGUAUGAGAUGGACCCGCGUCUGAUUAGCUAGUUGGUGGGGUAACGGCUCACCAAGGCGACGAUCAGUAGCCGACCUGAGAGGGUGACCGGCCACAUUGGGACUGAGACACGGCCCAA